rnacentral:rRNA from 1 species
AGCGAACGCUGGCGGCAGGCCUAAUACAUGCAAGUCGAACGAAGCCUUCGGGCUUAGUGGCGGACGGGUGAGUAACACGUGGGAACGUACCCUUUGGUUCGGAACAACUCAGGGAAACUUGAGCUAAUACCGAAUGUGCCCCACUACUUACCUAAAGAAGUGGUGGGGUAAGGAAAUUAUUUACGCCGACCUUAGGUUAGGACGGCCCCGGCCCGUCGUUACGUAGUUAAGUUACGUACGUUUAGGGUUGGGUAA